AAAUAUUAUAAUAUUACUUGGCUCGCGUGGAGGUAAUCGGUUGAUUGGAGGACGGAGAAGAUGCGAACUACACAACAGAGGACUUCAGCAGAAACCGCGGUAAAUCAAAAGGGCCUCGGAGGACAACACCGCUCGACCAAGUGACCAACUUAAAUUCUAAAAUAUUUACUGGAGCACGGACUCUCCCAUUUUCGUUGUUACGAAAAACAGGCCGUUUCAACUGCUACUACCUCCAUCGCCGUAUUGCGAUAUUAUGUUAUUUCCGUCUACGACGAAGAUACUAUUUCUAUUAUUAAAACUUGGUGAUUGAAAUAUCGCAUUACUCCGUUAAAUGUAUUAUAGUGAGUUACGUUAGUCGUUAUUGGUGCCAAUACUAUAAUACCUGCAUCAAUAAUGUCGACGUCUUGACAUCCACCAAAAACAUACCUACCAGCUACCUACCAUUUACCAAGUAACUAUAUAUAUGUAUAUAUAUAUAUGUUCAUCGUCGCUUCGAAACAUAGUCGGCGAUAAAAAAUAAAUAUUGUUGGUUGGGUGUGAAGCAUGAUAAAAGUUGCUAAAUCCAGAUAAAAUAUUGUUCACAUAAUAAUAUAGUAUACAUUAUUAAUACAAUAUUAUUAUAUUGUUUGACAGUUACCAAAUGAAUGAAAGACGUAAUUUUAAAGGAAAAAGGGUUGUGCAUACGAUAGUUUUUGUUUUAUAGAUUAUUGAUAAAAAAAUUUAUAAAAUUAAUAAUAAUAUAAUAUAAAUGUUUUAAUUAAUAACUAUUGUU